CCCUUCGGGGUACUCGAGUGGCGAACGGGUGAGUACACGUGGGUGAUCUGCCCUGCACUUUGGGAUAAGCCUGGGAAACUGGGUCUAAUACCGAAUAGGACCGCAUGCUUCAUGGUGUGUGGUGGAAAGCUUUUGCGGUGUGGGAUGGGCCCGCGGCCUAUCAGCUUGUUGGUGAGGUAAUGGCUUACCAAGGCGACGACGGGUAGCCGGCCUGAGAGGGUGACCGGCCACACUGGGACUGAGAUACGGCCCAGACUCCUACGGGAGGCAGCAGUGGGGAAUAUUGCACAAUGGGCGCAAGCCUGAUGCAGCGACGCCGCGUGAGGGAUGACGGCCUUCGGGUUGUAAACCUCUUUCGCCAGGGACGAAGCGCAAGUGACGGUACCUGGAGAAGAAGGACCGGCCAACUACGUGCCAGCA
rnacentral:rRNA from 1 species